rfam:Heligmosomoides polygyrus genome assembly, scaffold: HPBE_contig0018029
GGUCCCGUAGUGUAGCGGUUAACACCCUGGACUUUGAAUCCAGUAACGCGAGUUCGAAUCUCGCCGGGACCU